rnacentral:rRNA from 1 species
GAGGGGUGCAAACGUUAUUCGGAUUUACUGGGUGUAAAGGGUGUGUAGACGGGUUAUUAAGUUUGUUGUUAAAUCUUCCGGCCUAACCGGAAGCUCGCGAUGAAAACUGAUAGCCUAGAGGAUGGAAGAGAGAAGUGGAAUUCUCGGAGUAGCGGUAAAAUGCGUAGAUCUCGAGAGGAACACCGAUGGCGAAGGCAGCUUCUUGGUCCAUAUCUGACGUUGAAACACGAAAGCGUGGGUAGCAAACAGGAUUAGAUACCCUGGGUAGUCCACGCCGUAAACGAUGAUCACUAGAUGUUGGCUCUGUUUGCAGGGUUAGUACCGAAGCUAACGCGUUAAGUGAUCCACCUGGGAACUACGAUCGCAAGAUUA